CGAAGUAAAAGUCGUAACAAGGUCUCCGUUGGUGAACCAGCGGAGGGAUCAUUACCGAGUUUACAACUCCCAAACCCAAUGUGAACGUUACCAAACUGUUGCCUCGGCGGGAUCUCUGCCCCGGGUGCGUCGCAGCCCCGGACCAAGGCGCCCGCCGGAGGACCAACCAAAACUCUUAUUGUAUACCCCCUCGCGGGUUUUUUUUAUAAUCUGAGCCUUCUCGGCGCCUCUCGUAGGCGUUUCGAAAAUGAAUCAAAACUUUCAACAACGGAUCUCUUGGUUCUGGCAUCGAUGAAGAACGCAGCGAAAUGCGAUAAGUAAUGUGAAUUGCAGAAUUCAGUGAAUCAUCGAAUCUUUGAACGCACAUUGCGCCCGCCAGUAUUCUGGCGGGCAUGCCUGUCCGAGCGUCAUUUCAACCCUCGAACCCCUCCGGGGGGUCGGCGUUGGGGAUCGGCCCUGCCUUGGCGGUGGCCGUCUCCGAAAUACAGUGGCGGUCUCGCCGCAGCCUCUCCUGCGCAGUAGUUUGCACACUCGCAUCGGGAGCGCGGCGCGUCCACAGCCGUUAAACACCCAACUUCUGAAAUGUUGACCUCGGAUCAGGUAGGAAUACCCGCUGAACUUAAGCAUAUCAAUAAGCGGAGGA
rnacentral:rRNA from 1 species